GUGAACGGACACACUGGAACUGAGACACGGUCCAGACUCCUACGGGAGGCAGCAGUAGGGAAUAUUGCUCAAUGGGGGAAACCCUGAAGCAGCAACGCCGCGUGGAGGAUGAAGGUUUUAGGAUUGUAAACUCCUUUUGUUAGAGAAGAUAAUGACGGUAUCUAACGAAUAAGCACCGGCUAACUCCAUGCCAGCAGCCGCGGUAAUACGGAGGGUGCAAGCGUUACUCGGAAUCACUGGGCGUAAAGAGCGCGUAGGCGGGAUAGUCAGUCAGGUGUGAAAUCCUAUGGCUUAACCAUAGAACUGCAUUUGAAACUACUAUUCUAGAGUCUCGCACACGUASGUGG
rnacentral:rRNA from 1 species